AGUGAACGCUGGCGGUAGGCCUAACACAUGCAGGCCGAACGCCAGCACAUAAGAGCUUGCCCUUUAGGGUUGCCAGUGGCGGGCCGGGGGAGGAAAACAUGGGAUCUUCUUUUUUGUUGGGGGUUACGGUGGGGAAAUUAACCCAAUAACGCAUAAGACCUACGGGGGAAAAGCAGGGGACCUCGGGCCUUUGGCGAAUGAAUGGGGCGAUGUCGGAUUAGCUAGUUGGCGGGGUAAAGGCCCACCAAGGCGACGAUCCGUAGCUGGUCUGAGAGGAUGAUCAGCCACACUGGAACUGAGACACGGUCCAGACUCCUACGGGAGGCAGCAGUGGGGAAUAUUGGACAAUGGGCGCAAGCCUGAUCCAGCCAUACCGCGUGGGUGAAGAAGGCCUUCGGGUUGUAAAGCCCUUUUGUUGGGAAAGAAAAGCAGCAGGUUAAUACCCCGCUGUUCUGGCGGUACCCAAAGAAUAAGCACCGGCUAACUUCGUG
rnacentral:rRNA from 1 species